rnacentral:rRNA from 1 species
GAUUCUCAAAUGAAUUGACGGGGGCCCGCACAAGCAGUGGAGUAUGUGGUUUAAUUCGAAGCAACGCGAAGAACCUUACCAGGUCUUGACAUCCAACGACCGCCUAAGAGAUUAGGCUUUCCUUCGGGACGUUGAGACAGGUGGCGCAUGGUUGUCGUCAGCUCGUGUCGUGAGAUGUUGGGUUAAGUCCCGCAACGAGCGCAACCCUUAUUACUAGUUACUACGCAAGAGGACUCUAGUGAGACUGCCGUUGACAAAACGGAGGAAGGUGGGGAUGACGUCAAAUCAUCAUGCCCUUUAUGACCUGGGCUACACACGUACUACAAUGGCUAUUAACAGAGAGAAGCAAGACCGCAAGGUGGAGCAAACCUCAGAAAAAUAGUCUCAGUUCGGAUUGGGGGCUGCAACCCGCCCCCAUGAAGCCGGAAUUGCUAGUAAUCGCGGAUCAGCAUGCCGCGGUGAAUACGUUCCCGGGCCUUGUACACACCGCCCGUCACACCAUGAGAGCCGGGGGGACCCGAAGUCGGUAGUCUAACCGCAAGGAGGACGCCGCCCGAAGGUAAAACUGGUGAUUGGGGUGAAGUCGUAACAAGGUAUCCGU